CAGCAAUGGUGCCUUGUAUUUUCCUCAUGACAGGUUUACAUUAAGCCAGUCACCUAUCUGCACAGUGACAGGGUUAAACAAUACGUCUCAGAUUUCCUCUGUGAAUCAUGGACAGUUCUGGUCAUGAUGAUGGCGUUAUUCUUACUACAUAACACUCCGUGAUAAUCUUUAUGCGUCUCUAAAGUCUCUUUCCAUAGGAAACAUGGCGGCUGUGAAACAACAACAGCGGCUUCUUGAAAUGAACAGCCAGAAAUCUUGUGGACUGGAUGACACAUGGAGGAACUAAAGGCUAUAUGGAA